AAUAUUUUUACGGGAUUGUAUGAGGUAUGUAGUAUUUUGAGUGGGGAAGAGAAGACCAAAAACUUCAAAUAAAAGAGAAAGGAACUUGCCCUGAAGAAAAUCCCACAUACAGGAUGGCAUCUUACUUACCUAACAGCAAUAUAUUUUCAGUUAGGCAAUUCAUAAACAAUUUCCCUGAGUUUAGGGUAUAUAAAUGACACAGAGACACGAUAAUAAAAAGCCAAAAACAGAGUAAUGUUCCUUUUUAAAGAAUAGUUACAAGAGAUCAUUUCCAAAGUCAAAUGAAAUUAUUUAUCCUUUUCUCAUUUGUUUCACGUGACAGAGAGAGGCUAGAUAUUCACCAAACCCGUUCAUCCCUCUCAGAUGCACAACUAAACACCUCUCCAGGACCCUUUGCCUCUAGCUGGGUGGAACUGUGUGCUGUGCUGGUAAAUGUUUUAACACCUGGCUUUCCGGAUAGGAAAAGGCUUCAUCUGCAGUAUUUGCCUAUUUCCCUUGUGUAAAUCUUCCACAAAGGCCUGUUUCAAGCCAGCAACAUGAUGUCAUUGAAUGUGGAAUUGAGGAAAAAAGGCACAUAAGCAACUUUCGGAAGCUGGGACCAGCUGGUUACAGCACACCAUUGAGAUUGUGACUAGUUCUUACCAAGAUGUGUCACUUAACAGGGAAGGAACUGUGUGCAGGUGACCUUCUUUCUCCACUCUCACUCUCUCAGAACUUGGUGGCCUCAUGAGGAAGAUGGUUAGAGCUGCAAGAUGGAAGGAUGCUAAAUUCUCGAGUCUCUUCCUUGAAAAGUUUAUCAGAUGACAAAUGCCUCCUGAUACAAGCCUUUAUGCCAUACAAAGACUGCUAUGUGAAGUCCCCAGGAAAGUCUUCUAUGUAUCAAAAACACGUUGAAAUAUUAGAACUUCAAGAAAGCAACAGACUUCUCACCUUUCAGGGACUAGGAAGUGUGCAUUGAAUCAUGUGAUUGGAGAGCAGAGCAGAUGAGAUAGUAUUUUUACAAAGAUGACUAUUGGAUGAGAUCUGACAUGUUACCAGAGCCAGCAGGAUGGGCUGGAAAAAGUCAUGGGAGGCCACAAGGAAUCAAAGCCUCAAACAAUGUAGCAGAAGGAAGACGGAUCAGCUCACAUAACCAGGAAGGUGAGGAGUGUUGUUGGGAAGGACCAGAACAGGGAUCCGGUGCUGCCUGCGUUUUCUCUCAUCUGCUUUAUUUAGGAUUUUAUUUUUGGCUUUAUUCUCCCAAGCUGGGUGGUUUUACAAAAUGGAGCCAUGGUUAGUAUCAGUUUCUGGAUUCACAACUUCCCAACUUCUUAACAUGUGAAGAAAGGGCUUUCCCCUGUGACUUUCAUUAAAAAAAAAAAAAAAAAAUCAUAGGGAAGGACCCUAAUUGACCUGAGUUGGAUCAAUUUCCACCUUCUGGACCAGUCACUAAAGUUAAGAGGUUGGUUCCUGGAGUCACAUCAUAUACACACUUUAACAUUUACAAAUUCAAGUCUGAGAGUUAAAUGGGGGGGAAAAUAAGAGAGAGGGGGUGGUUGUGUGUGGGUGACACUGCCGGCCACUGAGUACAGUGGACGUGAGCCUGGAGAAGAGAAUCUGCUGUGCCCGAGGUCCCAGUGCUUGUCAUGGCCUGAGAACCUGGAGCAAAGGCCCAGAGGGUCAUUUCAUAUAACCUGACCCUGAAAUGCAAGCCGGCUACUUCAUCUGGUAGUCAGCUGAAGAAACAGCCAUCUGUUCCAAAACUGGGGGGACAUGUCACUGCAGCCUUCAUGAAAAAAAAGUAUACUGUUAUGGGUGUUUAAAGGAUUUUCAAGGACAAUUUUACCUGUAGUGAAUUUCUCCUCACAAGCUGACAUUAAAACCUACCCCCUGGGCUUCCCUGGUGGCGCAGUGGUUGAGAGUCCACCUGCCGAUGCGGGGGACAGGGGUUCGUGCCCUGG